rnacentral:rRNA from 1 species
GACGGGGGGGGCAAGUGUUCUUUCGGAAUCACUGGGCGUAAAGCGCACGUAGGCGGCUUUCUCAAGUCAGGGGUGAAAUCCUGGAGCUCAACUCCAGAACUGCCUUUUGAUACUGAAGAUCUUGAGUUUCGGGAGAGGUGAGUGGAACUGCGAGUGUAGAGGUGAAAUUCGUAGAUAUUCGCAAGAACACCAGUGGCGAAGGCGGCUCACUGGCCCGAUACUGACGCUGAGGUGCGAAAGCGUGGGGGAGCAAACAGG